rnacentral:rRNA from 1 species
UGCCAGCCGCCGCGGUAAUACGGAGGGUGCAAGCGUUAAUCGGAAUUACUGGGCGUAAAGCGCGCGUAGGCGGUUAAGCAAGUCAGAUGUGAAAGCCCCGGGCUCAACCUGGGAACUGCAUUUGAAACUGUUUAACUAGAGUGUGGUAGAGGAGAGUGGAAUUUCAGGUGUAGCGGUGAAAUGCGUAGAGAUCUGAAGGAACACCAGUGGCGAAGGCGACUCUCUGGACCAACACUGACGCUGAGGUGCGAAAGCGUGGGUAGCAAACGGGAUUAGAUA